GACCUCCGGUCGCCAGAUGGUUAGGGCGUCUGACUCGGAUGCGGAUGGUCGUGGGUUCGAUUCCCGGCCGAAUCA